rnacentral:tRNA from 1 species
GUAGGCGUAGCUCAGUUGGUUAGAGCGCUGCACCGGAAUCGCAGGGCCGCAGAUUCGAUUCCUGCCAGAGGGUCUAUA